rnacentral:rRNA from 1 species
AACGAACGCUGGCGGCAUGCCUAAUACAUGCAAGUCGAACGAUCGCUUCGGUGGUAGUGGCGCACGGGUGCGUAACGCGUGGGAAUCUGCCCUUGGGUUCGGAAUAACGUCGGGAAACUGACGCUAAUACCGGAUGAUGACGUAAGUCCAAAGAUUUAUCGCCCAGGGAUGAGCCCGCGUAGGAUUAGCUAGUUGGUGGGGUAAAGGCUUACCAAGGCGACGAUCCUUAGCUGGUCUGAGAGGAUGAUCAGCCACACUGGGACUGAGACACGGCCCAGACUCCUACGGGAGGCAGCAGUAGGGAAUAUUGGACAAUGGGGGCAACCCUGAUCCAGCAAUGCCGCGUGAGUGAUGAAGGCCUUAGGGUUGUAAAGCUCUUUUACCCGGGAUGAUAAUGACAGUACCGGGAGAAUAAGCCCCGGCUAACUCCGUGCCAGCCGCCGCAGUAA